UACGUAGGGGGCAAGCGUUGUCCGGAAUCAUUGGGCGUAAAGCGCGCGUAGGCGGCCCGGUAAGUCCGUUGUGAAAGUCAAAGGCUCAACCUUUGAACGCCGAUGGAUACUGCCGGACUAGAGUUCGGAAGAGGCGAGUGGAAUUCCUGGUGUAGCGGUGAAAUGCGCAGAUAUCAGGAGGAACACCGGUGGCGAAGGCGGAUCUCUGGGCCUUACCUGACGCUGAGGAGCGAAAGCGUGGGGAGCAAACAGG
rnacentral:rRNA from 1 species